CCUAAAUACACUAAUUAAAGUAAAUCUACUUACUACCUUAUAAGGAACCGUCAUACCGAACGUGACCUUCACAACAUCAAAGUGUGUAAAUAAAAUAAAUGAAAAACUCCAUGACGACACCCUAAACCUUUUUAAAAGUCCUAUUUUGGUCCCCAAAGUAGCAAAAUUCCCAGUGUAUCUAAUAUAUAAGAUAAUAAUAAUAAUAAUGCCUGAAGACAUUUGCUACCCGAUCCAGUACGUGCCCUACUGUUUGCCAGGGAUGCCAGAGCAGAUAAUUUACACCCAACUGCCGGGACAGCCCAUGUUUAUUAAGCCCUUCUGUAUGAGUCCCACCCCCUGUCCUGACCCGUGUGCUAAUAAACAUAACCCCAAGAACGGAGAAUCCGGGGGUAGGAACGGAAAUGAGGCCAGUAAGAAGUGCUAGUUUUGUGAUGUCAGUCUUAAUAAAUGGUGGAAUUUAUUCGGUGUUUUAUUUGCCUUAAAGAUUUCAUUAGUAGAGGGUUUUAAUGGAGAAAAUUUUUCCAGGCAGUUGAAGCCGGAAUAAUAAUGUUUUGGAAUUUGCAAUUAUUUGGAAAAAAUGAAGAAGAUUCUUCUAGGCAGUUGAGGCCAGUUCCAUGACUACAUACCUGGGAAAAUGCAUCUAGAAUAAGGAACUGAAUUUCCCUAAAAUUAAAGUAUCAACUGCCGAGACUGUACAACUGAGAGACCGUAGGUAAUCUCCUCAUCGACGUCGAUGGUAGUAAAAAAGUUGUCACGUUUCACAUUUUAUCUGAUAUAAUUUUAUUUAUUCAUGUUGUAUAAUAUGUUUUUUUUCUGUCAAUAAACUACGUAUUAAAAUUAAUACAA